rnacentral:lncRNA from 1 species
AGGAGAGAUCCCACUCUGGUGUCUGCCCUGGAAGAGUGCUAGCAGCCAUCUGGAGCCACAGCAGCAGGUUGCACUUCAGUUGUACAUGUGUGGCACAGACUGAUAUUUACCAGGCACAUAAAGCUCUCCUGGAAUCGAAGCAGAGCGCUGGGCACGCGAGACAAGCAGGGCCAGGCACAGGAAUGAGAAUCUAAAACUGGAAAGUGCAUGUGAAAUCAGCUAUGGUCUGCCUGGGAGAUGGCGCAUGCUCUUGCACACCCUAACUCAGAUAUCACCAAAUGAUGGAGCUUUUGUCUCU